rnacentral:rRNA from 1 species
UACAGAGGGUGCAAGCGUUAAUCGGAAUUACUGGGCGUAAAGCGUGCGUAGUCGGUUAUUUAAGUCAGUGGUGAAAUACUUCAGCUUAACUGGAGAGGUGCCAUUGAUACUGGGAAACUUGAGUACUGAUGAGGUAGGCGGAAUGGACGGUGUAGCGGUGAAAUGCUUAGAUAUCGUCCAGAACACCGAUAGCGAAGGCAGCUUACUAAGGAGUAACUGACGCUGAGGCACGAAAGUGUGGGGAUCAAACAGG